rnacentral:rRNA from 1 species
CCACCGCGGUUAGACGAGAGACCCUAGUUGAUUAUAUAACGGCGUAAAGGGUGGUUAAGGGUAAUUAAAAAUAAAGCCAAAUGGCCCUUUGGCCGUCAUACGCUUAAUAGGUGUCCGAAGCCCUAACACGAAAGUAGCUUUAAUGAACCAGCCUGACCCCACGAAAGCUGAGAAACAAACUGGGAUUAGAUACCCCACUAUGCUCAGCCAUAAACCCAGACAUCCAAUUACAAUUAAAUGUCCGCCAGGGUACUACGAGCAUUAGCUUAAAACCCAAAGGACCUGACGGUGUCUCAGAUCCCCCUAGAGGAGCCUGUUCUAAAACCGAUAACCCCCGUUAAACCUCACCACUUCUAGUCCACCCAGUCUAUAUACCGCCGUCGUCAGCUUACCCUGUGAAGGCAAUAAAAUAAGCAAAAUGAGCACAGCCCAGAACGUCAGGUCGAGGUGUAGCGCAUGAAGUGGGAAGAAAUGGGCUACAUUUUCUAAAACAGAAUAUUACGAAUAUGCAACAUGAAAUAAUGCUUGAAGGAGGAUUUAGUAGUAAAAAGGAAACAGAGUGUCCCUUUGAACCCGGCUCUGAGACGCGUACACACCGCCCGUCACUCUCCCCUGUCAAAAUGCAUCAAAAAUACUUAAUAAACUAGCACCGACAAGGGGAGGCAAGUCGUAACACG